rnacentral:SRP_RNA from 1 species
GCGGCGGACUAGGGCGCUUCUGUGCUUUCGUUGCCAUCUUUUCGGUCACCUUCUGGAUCGGGGUAACGAGGAAUCUCCGUUGCAAUCCGGAGGCGCUCGCCAAUGUCGAGCCGCCGUUUGGAGGGGAGCUGAU